rnacentral:rRNA from 1 species
ACAUGCAAGUCGAACGGAGAAUGUCAAAUGAAGUUUUCGGAUGGAUUUUGAUAUUCUUAGUGGCGAACGGGUGAGUAACGCGUAGGCAACCUGCCCUUUGGAUGGGACAACAUUCCGAAAGGAGUGCUAAUACCGAAUGUGACGAGUUUUACCGCAUGGUUUAAUCGUGAAAGAUGGCCUCUACAUGUAAGCUAUCGCCAAAGGAUGGGCCUGGCGUCUGAUUAGCUAGUUGGUGGGGUAACGGCUCACCAAGGCGACGAUCAGUAGCCGGUCUGAGAGGAUGAACGGCCACAUUGGGACUGAGACACGGCCCAGACUCCUACGGGAGGCAGCAGUGGGGAAUCUUCCGCAAUGGACGAAAGUCUGACGGAGCAAUGCCGCGUGAGUGAUGAAGGUUUUCGGACCGUAAAGCUCUUUUGUUUAUGACGAAUGUGCAUGAUGUGAACAAUGUUGUGUAAUGACGGUAGUAAACGAAUAAGCCACGGCUAACUACGUG